GUGAGGAAUAUUGCGCAAUGGAGGCAACUCUGACGCAGCCAUGCCGCGUGCAGGAAGAAGGCGCUACGCGUUGUAAACUGCUUUUAACCGGGAAGAAACCCCAGGACGUGUCCUGGGUUGACGGUACCGGAGGAAUAAGCACCGGCUAACUUCGUGCCAGCAGCCGCGGUAAUACGAAGGGUGCAAGCGUUAUCCGGAUUCAUUGGGUUUAAAGGGUGCGUAGGCGGAGCGUUAAGUCAGUGGUGAAAUCCUGCAGCUUAACGGUGGACUUGCCAUUGAUACUGGCGCUCUUGAGUGCGCUUGAAGUGGGCGGAAUGUGCCGUGUAGCGGUGAAAUGCUUAGAUAUGGCACAGAACACCAAUUGCGAAGGCAGCUCACUAAGGCGAUACUGACGCUGAGGCACGAAAGCGUGGGGAUCGAACAGGAUUAGAAACCCCAGUAGUCC
rnacentral:rRNA from 1 species